GCCGUCGGGAAAGGGUGUCGCUUCUCGCUAACAUUCAACAGUUAAUGAGACAUUUUGAGACAAAGUCAGUUGUUCGAAUUAAUUAUUUCUUGUCGAUAUGCAGUGACCGCCGGCAGGUAGAGUUUUGGUCAAGUUAGCGGUUUCAAAAUAAAGUACUUGUUACCAAGUUGUCUUUCGACGCGUCGGAGGCGGAUAGGAUUCAACGCACUUCACAGAAUGCGACCCGGGAGCAGCAACAACAGUUAAUUUGAUCAGCAUUUCAGGAAGAGCCUCGUCUACAGAGAUCGAGUAUCGUUGCGGCAAGUGACACCUAUUGCCCUUUAUACGCUGGGAUAAAGCCAACUCUUGCUGCUCGUCUUGGUAGAGGCUUCCAGCUAGUUGGUAUUAGAGAUAAGGAUAAGGACUUCAUAAAGUUACCGCCAGAAUUAGGUUGGAUCCAGUUCAUGUGGACAAACGACCACGACACCACGACCUGGAGGUGGUCGUCCUGGUGCUGUUCUACACAAACUGGUCUCCCACUGCAGGGCUCGGGCGACCACAGCCAGGCCACGAGGACAGUCUCGGGGUACUGAGGAACAUCUAAACGACGACAAAGUGGCACGACAUUGCCUGUCACCACGUAAAGUACCAUCUGUCACCCAGCCUUUGAUACAUUGUUUUGCCAGAAAAUGGCCAGGUUUCCUGAAUGGUGAAGUUGUAAAAUAUUAAAACUUAAUGUUAUUGAAUACCUUAACCAGGAGGUCUGUUAAUGUUCAGUGUCGACUCGACAGAACUUGUCACUAGGGACCUGAAGAGUCAAUAGGGGAAGUGUGUGUUUUAAGGUAAAAUUAAAUCCUCGACUCUUGUUACGGAAACUAUAUUAAUUGCUAGUGACUUCAAUGACAUUGAAACGAUGCAAGGGGGGGGGGCGGAUUUCAACGACCACUUGUAUAACAAUUUCCCCCCCCCCCUUUUUAAAGACUAGUGUAGGUGGAAUACUUAUAAACCUGGUUACAUAGCUUUCCAGGUUCGCAUUGUUUUGAUAAUUACUUGUAAAACCUGACUAUGGCAAUAUUUUGGGCCUCGCUCCCAGUGAUCUCACUACGUACUUACGAUGGAUGACUUACUUGUUUGGCAGUUAACUAUUACCUGGAAGAAACUUGAACCCUGGCUAGAAUCUCCAGUGUUCUAAAAAGACAUUUUAGGUUUUUUAUAUUCAAACUUGUUUUAAUUGGGCAACUAACAAUGCAACUAUAAGACUUAUCUUAUUUGCCUAUAUUUCUCAUCACUGAACUGCAUUCUGUAUUGCUUUAAAGUAUGAAAAUAAAUCUCUAAACCAU